AACUACGUGCCAGCAGCCGCGGUAAUACGUAGGUGGCAAGCGUUAUCCGGAUUUAUUGGGCGUAAAGAGAGUGCAGGCGGUUUUCUAAGUCUGAUGUGAAAGCCUUCGGCUUAACCGGAGAAGUGCAUCGGAAACUGGAUAACUUGAGUGCAGAAGAGGGUAGUGGAACUCCAUGUGUAGCGGUGGAAUGCGUAGAUAUAUGGAAGAACACCAGUGGCGAAGGCGGCUACCUGGUCUGCAACUGACGCUGAGACUCGAAAGCAUGGGUAGCGAACAGGAUUAGAUACCCUGGUAG
rnacentral:rRNA from 1 species